ACUACCAUCACUUUGCACACAGUACGAACUAGGCUAAGGGAAAUUAUUUAACUUUAAGCAAUCCAAGAAGCAUGUGGUUCCUGCUUUUAACAUCUUUGUUGAUCUUCUUUUCAGGUCCGGGAAAAGCUUACUAUCUGCCAUCCGGCAGAGAUCAGCAAGCGAUUCUUUUCGAAGACUACUCAAAUUCCCACGACGUCUGCCUCACACCUGGAUGCGUGAAAGCAGCUGCUGAAAUUUUAUCUAAUUUGGAUGAGACUGUGGAUCCCUGUAACGACUUCUAUCAGUUUGCUUGCGGCGGCUGGCUGAAGAGUCAUGAUAUUCCUGCGGACGAAGCUUCAGUUACUACCAUGUCGAUUAUGCAAGACGAUCUUGAUCUGCAACUCAAAGGACUUUUAGAAAAGGAAUUGACAGGAAUAGAACCUGAUUUCAUCCGAAUGAUAAAAUCAAUGUAUGAUACCUGCAUGGACCUAAAAAGCAUCGAGAAAACAGACAGCGAACCUUUGAAGAAAGCUCUGAGGAAUCUCGGUGGCUGGCCGGUUACAGAAGGGGAAAACUGGGAUGAAGCCUCCUUCGACUGGAUUGACACUCUAAUUCGACUCCGCAAGAUGGGCUAUAACUUCAACUCUUUAAUGUACUUGCUUGUCUCUGAGGAUUACAGAAACAACACGGCUCAUAUCAUAGCGUUGGAUCAAGCAUCACUUGGAAUGCCAGAUCUUACAUAUUAUUUGCUUGGAUUAGAUGAUCCCGUCACGGCUGCUUACUUUAGAUUUAUGGUAAAAGCAGCUAAUAAACUGCGUGCAGAUGAACGUACAUCAGAAGCAGAACUCCGAGAAGCUUUCAGAUUCGAAACUAUGCUCGCCAAUUUCUCUACACCAAAAGAGGAAAGACGAGACAUUGACAGUAUGUACAACAAAUACACAGUUAAGAAGCUUAUGGAACAAGUACCACAGAUUGACUGGCUGAAAUAUAUCAAUGGACUGUUGAAUGAUGAAAUAUUUGAAAAUGAAACUUUGAUUGUUUUUGAUCCACAUUUCAUCACUAAAUUUGCUGAUCUGAUCACAAAAGCAGAUAAGAGGGUGGUGGCCAAUUACAUGAUGUGGAGAGUUGUUAAAGAAUCUGCUUCCGAAUUAUCUUCAGACUGGAGGAAACUAAGUCAGGAAUAUUCCUUUGUGUUGUCUGGAACAGAGCAAGAAAAGCCAAGAUGGAAAACAUGCCUUCAAUCUUUUAGUGAUAGCCUACUUAUUGCUCUCAGUUCCUACUACGUGCGUGAGUAUUUCAAAGAGGAAAGUAAGGAUGUGGCGCUAGAGAUGGUUAAAUACAUCCAGCAAGAAUUCUUAAAUAUUCUAAAAAAUAUAGAUUGGAUGGAGAAAGAAACAAAAAAACAAGCCAUAGAAAAGGCUCUUGCUAUGAAGUCGUGUAUUGGAUAUCCUAAUGAGCUUCUAAAGAAUUCAUACAUAUCUAUUUUUUACGAAAAUCUGACGCUCAAUGAUAAAAGUUACUAUGAAAACACUAGGAAAGUAAACAAGUGGGAAACUGAUUACGAUUUCUCUGAGCUUCGGAAACCUAGGAUAAAAGGAGACUGGAAGGAAUAUGCACAUGCUGCUGUCGUAAACGCCUUUUAUCAUUUAGUGGACAAUAUCAUUGCAUUUCCUGCUGGAAUUUUACAACAUCCUUUUUUCAACAAGGAGCAACCGAAUUACUUGAAUUUUGGAGCCAUGGGUUGUAUUAUUGGUCAUGAAAUUACCCAUGGAUUCGACGAUACAGGUCGGCAAUUUGAUAAAGAUGGUAACAACGUGAACUGGUGGGAGCAGAAGACAGAUGAGCUCUUCGAAAAGAAAGCCCAAUGUAUUGUAGAACAAUACGGUAAUUACACUGCUGAAAAUGGCAUGCGGCUGAACGGCAUUAAUACUCAAGGAGAAAAUAUAGCUGACAUUGGAGGUCUGAAAGAAAGUUAUAUGGCAUAUCAAACAUGGGUAAGGGACCAUGGAAGGGAGACAAAGCUACCAGGACUGAAGUAUACUCAAAAUCAGUUGUUCUGGAUCAGUGCGGCUAAUGUAGAGUGUGCGAAAGUAAGACCAGAAGUUCUAUCGUUGGACAUUAUUUCUGAUUCACAUAGUCCAUCAAAAUUUAGAGUGAAUGGGCCACUGUCUAAUCUACCAGAGUUUUCGGAAGACUUUCACUGUUCUUCAGGUUCCCCAAUGAAUCCAGAAAGCAAGUGCACAGUUUGAAUAAUCUUGAAGCAAAUGUUUGCAACUACAGGCAGUCCAAGCUCAAUAAUUGUUGAGCAGAGGGAGGAGGUAAAGGAGUGUUUCCCUUUCCAUCACGUUCAUCCUCGGAGACCACUCCGGAUCUGAUGGUAAAGUAAAGCUGACGCAUCAGUUGUUUCUAGCCCUUUGCAAGACAUUGUAAAUCUCAGCAGUAUUUAAUUUAAAUAAAACUUUGAUGUGAUUUCUA